rnacentral:rRNA from 1 species
CCUGGCGGCCUUAGCGCGGUGGUCCCACCUGACCCCAUGCCGAACUCAGAAGUGAAACGCCGUAGCGCCGAUGGUAGUGUGGGGUCUCCCCGUGGGAGUGUAUGUAAAAGAAAGGC